rnacentral:rRNA from 1 species
GCAUAUCAAUAAGCGGAGGAAAAGAAACCAACAGGGAUUGCCUCAGUAACGGCGAGUGAAGCGGCAAAAGCUCAAAUUUGAAACCCUCGGGAUUGUAAUUUGAAGAUUUGGCAUUGGAGAAAGCUAACCCAAGUUGCUUGGAAUAGUACGUCAUAGAGGGUGACAACCCCGUCUGGCUAACCGUUCUCCAUGUAUUGCCUUAUCAAAGAGUCGAGUUGUUUGGGAAUGCAGCUCAAAGUGGGUGGUAAACUCCAUCUAAAGCUAAAUACUGGUGAGAGACCGAUAGCGAACAAGUACUGUGAAGGAAAGGUGAAAAGAACUUUGAAAAGAGAGUGAAAUAGUAUGUGAAAUUGUUGAUAGGGAAGGAAAUGAGUGGAGAGUGGCCGAGGUUUCAGCCGCCCCUCGUGGGCGGUGUACUGCCGACGCCGAGUCAUCGAUAGCGAGACGAGGGUUACAAAUGGGAGCGCCUUCGGGCGUUCUCCCCUAACCCUCCACACUGCCACCGACGACAUAAUCCACCCAUUUCACCCGUCUUGAAACACGGACCAAGGAGUCUAAUGGAUAUGUGAGUGUUAGGGUGGCAAACCCCAGCGCGCAAUGAAAGUGAAUGGAUUCGUUCAGAAUCGACCGAACUUGAUUAUUAUGACAGUUUUGAGUAAACACAUCCAUUGGGACCCGAAAGAUGGUGAACUAUGCCUGGAUAGGGUGAAGUCAGAGGAAACUCUGAUGGAGGCUCGUAGCGGUUCUGACGUGCAAAUCGAUCGUAGGAUCUGGGUAUAGGGGCGAAAGACUAAUCGAACCAUCUAGUAGCUGGUUCC